UAAGGAAUAUUGCGCAAUGGGCGACAGCCUGACGCAGCGACGCCGCGUGGGGGAUGAAGGUCUUCGGAUUGUAAACCCCUUUCGGCAGGGAAGAUGGAACGGGUAACCGUUCGGACGGUACCUGCAGAAGCAGCCACGGCUAACUUCGUGCCAGCAGCCGCGGUAAUACGAAGGUGGCAAGCGUUGUUCGGAUUUACUGGGCGUACAGGGAGCGUAGGCGGUUGGGUAAGCCCUCCGUGAAAUCUCCGGGCCUAACCCGGAAAGUGCGGAGGGGACUGCUCGGCUAGAGGAUGGGAGAGGAGCGCGGAAUUCCCGGUGUAGCGGUGAAAUGCGUAGAGAUCGGGAGGAAGGCCGGUGGCGAAGGCGGCGCUCUGGAACGUUUCUGACGCUAAAGUGCGAAAGCGUGGGGAUCAAACAGGAUUAGAUACCCCCGUAGUCCCUGAGCGGGCUGGCAAGGCGCAU
rnacentral:rRNA from 1 species